GACGAACGCUGGCGGCGUGCUUAACACAUGCAAGUCGAACGGAAAGGCCCUUCUUUUGGUGCGUGCGCGACUGGCGAGCGGGUGAGAAACACGUGAGUAACCCGCCCCUUUCUGUGUGAGAACUUCAGGUGACUCGGGCUAUUACCGUGUAUGAGCUCCUGCUGCAGGGGGUUGGUUAGAAAGUGUGGGUGGUGAUGGAUGGACUCGCGGCUUAUCAGCUUGUUGGUUGGGUGGUGGCUUACCAAGGCUUUGACGGGUAGCCGGCAUGGGAGGUUGACCGGCAACAUUGGGCCUGAGAUAGGGCCCAGACCCGUACGGGAGGCAGCGGUGGGAAAUAUUGCACAAUGGGGGGAAGCGUGUUGCAGAACCGCCCCGGGCGGAAUGCCGGCUUUCGGGUUGUAAACAGAUUUCGCAUGUACCGAACCGUUAGUGACGGUACCGGGUAAAGAAGCACCGGCUAACUACGUG
rnacentral:rRNA from 1 species